rnacentral:rRNA from 1 species
UACGUAGGGGGCAAGCGUUGUCCGGAUUUACUGGGCGUAAAGAGCGUGUAGGCGGCCAAGCAGGUCCGUUGUGAAAACUGGAGGCUACCAUCCACACGUCGACGGAAACCGUCGUGGCUAGAGUCCGGAAGAGGAGAGUGGAAUUCCUGGUGUAGCGGUGAAAUGCGCAGAUAUCAGGAAGAACACCAAUGGCGAAGGCAGCUCUCUGGGACGGUACUGACGCUGAGACGCGAAAGCGUGGGGAGCGAACAGGAUUAGAACCUACCGUAGCAG